rnacentral:piRNA from 1 species
UGUGAUGUGCCAGCCUCCAGUUCCA